rfam:Pseudogymnoascus pannorum VKM F-103 contig_135, whole genome shotgun sequence.
GUUUUUUUUAAAUGAUGAUAUAAUUAUCACGACGGUCAACAUAAGCCACUUGUUGGUAUUGAUGAUAUCGCCUGUGACAGGGCAAUUUAGAUCUGAUA